rnacentral:pre_miRNA from 1 species
GGAAAGGAGGAAGCAGACGGAACGCCAGAGAAUAGUGGAGGAAACUUUCUUCUCUCUUUAGCGUUCCGUCCGCUUCCUCCUCCCUG